AUUGAACGCUGGCGGCAGGCCUAACACAUGCAAGUCGAACGAGUGGCGGACGGGUGAGUAAUGUCUGGGCAACUGCCUGAUGGAGGGGGAUAACUACUGGAAACGGUAGCUAAUACCGCCUACCAUCGGAUGUGCCCAGAUGGGAUUAGCUAGUAGGUGGGGUAACGGCUCACCUAGGCGACGAUCCCUAGCUGGUCUGAGAGGGUGACCAGGCAAAUUGGAACGGGGACACGGGCCAGACUCUGACGGGAGGCAGCAGUGGGGAAUAUUGCACAAUGGGGUCAAGCCUGAUGCAGCCAUGCCGCGUGGAUGAAGAAGGCCUUCGGGUUGUAAAGGACUUUCAGCGGGGAGGCGUUACCCGCAGAAGAAGCACCGGCUAACUCCGUGCCAGAAGCCGCGGUAAUAC
rnacentral:rRNA from 1 species